CCUCCUUUCUCACGCAGCCCUUCCUUCACAUACUAUCACGACGAGAAGGGCAAACGCACACAUGCACACUGUUGAUCUCUCCAUGACAACAAGGAAAAUGUUUACACUCUUGAUCAAGUCACUUUUUAGCUUCUAUGGUGCACAUGUUACAAUGAGUCUUUCACCGGCUCAACAAAGAGACGGACGGAUGGACGGACGGACGGACGGACGGACGGACAGGAGCAACACUAUUUCCAGCCAUGCAGAAAGCAUUGCGUUUCUCCCAGGGAUUCAACAAGGGAAGACAACAACGAGUCACAAAAACACAGAGAGAAAACUCGUAGGGAUAUUUAUAGAGAGGAAAGGAAAAUCCUUCAAAGCUUGGCUUUUUUUGUGGGGAGCCAGAUAGAGGAAGCAUUUUUUGAAGCUGAAUUCCAAAGGUGGCUUUGGCUUUGGGCAACAACAGUGACAGCUUGGUUCAGCUGGGUGAUGCUGUCAGUGCAUGUCACACUCAAAAGCUUUGGAGUUUUGGGAGACGCACACACACACACACACACACACACACACACACACACACACACACACAGAUAUGACGCUUAGACUACACAAGCACUGCCUCAACGCAAAAACAACCACACAAGUGCAGCCCUAAACGGAGGAGCAGGAUAUGUGGCAAAAGAGAGGACAUAAAGACUUUCGAUUAGAAGAGAGCAAAUACAAUACAGUAGACGAUCAACCCUGACCGGGUGAGCUGUUUCCAUACAGCGUAAUGCGACUCCGGGGACUGAAGAUAAUUACCAUUCUUUGCAAUCAGUCACCAAUGGCGGACUGUAACGACGUUAACUUCAU